rnacentral:rRNA from 1 species
AUUGAACGCUGGCGGCAGGCCUAACACAUGCAAGUCGAGCGAGCGGCGGACGGGUGAGUAAUGUAUGGAGAUCUGCCCGAUAGAGGGGUAUAACUACUGGAACCGGUGGCUAAUACCGCAUACUAUCGUAUGAAGCCCUAUGGGGUUAGCUAGUAGGUGGGGUAAAGGCUCACCUAGGCGACGCUCUCUAGCUGGUCUGAGAGGAUGAUCAGCCACACUGGGACUGAGACACGGCCCAGACUCCUACGGGAGGCAGCAGUGGGGAAGAUUGCACAAUGGGCGCAAGCCUGAUGCAGCCAUGCCGCGUGUAUGAAGAAGGCCUUAGGGUUGUAAAGUACUUUCAGCGGGGAGGCGUUACCCGCAGAAGAAGCACCGGCUAACUCCGUGCCAGCAGCCGCGGUAAUUC